CGCGCAGGUGGUUGAUUAAGUCUGAUGUGAAAGCCCACGGCUUAACCGUGGAGGGUCAUUGGAAACUGGUCAACUCGAGUGCAGAAGAGGGAAGUGGAAUUCCAUGUGUAGCGGUGAAAUGCGUAGAGAUAUGGAGGAACACCAGUGGCGAAGGCGGCUUCCUGGUCUGUAACUGACACUGAGGCGCGAAAGCGUGGGAGCAAACA
rnacentral:rRNA from 1 species